CCUCACUGCUGUGUUCCCCAAUGCACUUCAUCACACAGGAAAAAAUCGAACAGAGGACAAACGUUUCACCGUUUCGCCAAAGAUCAGGGACUACGUCGACAGUGGAUAAUAAACAUCAGAAGGGAUCCUGGUCGUAAUUUUAAGAUAAACACGUACACAAAAGUGUGCUCGGAGCAUUUCCUCCCAGACUGCCUUGUGAAAAGCAAGACUGGCAUCACCAAGUUGAAACAGGGAGCUGUUCCAACUGUGUUUGCAUGGAGUUCUGUCAGACCAGAGAGGAGGAGUGUUGUUAGAACUGCAAGUAAUGUUUCCACGGAUCUCACUGAUCAACAUGAUGUGAAUGUGUUGAGUGAAGAGACACCCCCUCUGCACCCAGGCCAUGAAUAUGCUGCACUGCCUCCCUCACUUCAAGAUCAACUUGAGGAAGCCCGAAAGAC